rnacentral:lncRNA from 1 species
AAAACAAGGGCAUAUAAUUAAGAUAGAGAACCUGAAGGUGAUGUUGCCUUGAGGCCAAAGCUUGUAGGUUAAUUCGUCGACACUUUGAGGAUUAUUUGCACCGUCACAGCCAAUAGCCUCGUAUAAAGGUAGAGUCGGAUGCUGACCAGCGUAUCCUUUGUAGAUUUUGUCAGACUUUGUUCUCAGUUUGGUUUCAACAGGUAAAUCAAAAAAUUCCUCCGAGGCCUCGAACAGCGCCUUCCGUAGCUCCACUGAAGCUCCGUUGAACAAGGCCUCGAAACAUCCGUACUCUUCUAGGGCUGUUCGGACUUGGGCUCUCACCGACUCCCACUCUGGAGUUGCCGGUUUG